GAGGCUGUCUGUGGAUUUCCACAGCAUCCCAGGAGGCGUCUGGACCGCAGUGGCUCCAGGCUGCCAACCACGGGCAGAGGCCACCGCUCCCGAGCUUGGACCCUGCCACGCGCAGGCACAGGCCAGGCGGCGCCGGGGAAGCCUGGGGGCCCCAGACCGGCCCAGCACCGCCUGACAUUUCUCAAGCAUGCUGGGGGACGGCCCCUCAAUUUAGGAUGAGGACGAGGGAAAGGUGUACUGGCCAGACUCAGCGCCCUGAGGACGGGGUCGGAACCCAGCGCCCAGGAAGCUCCCCUCCCCCCGACCAAGGACCUCCCUCCAGGGUGUGCCCGGAGGAGGUCAAGACUCCACUGCCCUGAAGCAAACAAGGCGUCCAGCCCGAGCCAGGGUCACACGCCCAACAGGUAGGAUCCAGCAACCCCUGCGCAGCAGCCCCCGCCAUGCGAGGGAGGACCCGGAGUUGAGCGUGGCCCUGCCUGACAUCUGACCCCGCCGUCAGGAGCUCCACCAGGUCAGGGCUGCUCAGCUGACCCCACAGCCCCACCAGGCAUGGUCAGCACGGUGCCGAAUGCAGGCCUGGAAAGGGAAUAAAGGAGGCCCUGGGGAGGGGCCUUGGUGCUUCAUCCCAAGCCAACCCCGAAAGUGGAAGCCACAGGGCCAGGGGGACGUCGUGGCUGAGAUGCGAGCAGGGUGCCGGGCACCCCCAAGGCAGCACUGCUGUCCCUGAGAACAGAAGGAAGUCCAGGCCCAGAGUCAGAGCCAAGUGGAGUAGUGGUGGUUGCUGGCACUCAGUCCCGUACCCUUGGACAGAGCAAGAGUCCCAAGCCAGGAAUGUGAGGCCGAUGCCUUUUAGGAAGAAACCACAUCUGGGGAACCAGACCCCAGAUCCCAGAACCCAGACCUCAGAUCCCAGAUCCCAGAUCUCAGACCCCAGAUCCCAGACUUCAGAUC
rnacentral:lncRNA from 1 species